AAAUUGAAGAGUUUGAUCAUGGCUCAGAUUGAACGCUGGCGGCAGGCCUAACACAUGCAAGUCGAACGGUAACAGGAAGCAGCUUGCUGCUUCGCUGACGAGUGGCGGACGGGUGAGUAAUGUCUGGGAAGCUGCCUGAUGGAGGGGGAUAACUACUGGAAACGGUAGCUAAUACCGCAUAAUGUCGCAAGACCAAAGAGGGGGACCUUCGGGCCUCUUGCCAUCGGAUGUGCCCAGAUGGGAUUAGCUUGUUGGUGGGGUAACGGCUCACCAAGGCGACGAUCCCUAGCUGGUCUGAGAGGAUGACCAGCCACACUGGAACUGAGACACGGUCCAGACUCCUACGGGAGGCAGCAGUGGGGAAUAUUGCACAAUGGGCGCAAGCCUGAUGCAGCCAUGCCGCGUGUAUGAAGAAGGCCUUCGGGUUGUAAAGUACUUUCAGCGGGGAGGAAGGGAGUAAAGUUAAUACCUUUGCUCAUUGACGUUACCCGCAGAAGAAGCACCGGCUAACUCCGUGCCAGCAGCCGCGGUAAUACGGAGGGUGCAAGCGUUAAUCGGAAUUACUGGGCGUAAAGCGCACGCAGGCGGUUUGUUAAGUCAGAUGUGAAAUCCCCGGGCUCAACCUGGGAACUGCAUCUGAUACUGGCAAGCUUGAGUCUCGUAGAGGGGGGUAGAAUUCCAGGUGUAGCGGUGAAAUGCGUAGAGAUCUGGAGGAAUACCGGUGGCGAAGGCGGCCCCCUGGACGAAGACUGACGCUCAGGUGCGAAAGCGUGGGGAGCAAACAGGAUUAGAUACCCUGGUAGUCCACGCCGUAAACGAUGUCGACUUGGAGGUUGUGCCCUUGAGGCGUGGCUUCCGGAGCUAACGCGUUAAGUCGACCGCCUGGGGAGUACGGCCGCAAGGUUAAAACUCAAAUGAAUUGACGGGGGCCCGCACAAGCGGUGGAGCAUGUGGUUUAAUUCGAUGCAACGCGAAGAACCUUACCUGGUCUUGACAUCCACGGAAGUUUUCAGAGAUGAGAAUGUGCCUUCGGGAACCGUGAGACAGGUGCUGCAUGGCUGUCGUCAGCUCGUGUUGUGAAAUGUUGGGUUAAGUCCCGCAACGAGCGCAACCCUUAUCCUUUGUUGCCAGCGGUCCGGCCGGGAACUCAAAGGAGACUGCCAGUGAUAAACUGGAGGAAGGUGGGGAUGACGUCAAGUCAUCAUGGCCCUUACGACCAGGGCUACACACGUGCUACAAUGGCGCAUACAAAGAGAAGCGACCUCGCGAGAGCAAGCGGACCUCAUAAAGUGCGUCGUAGUCCGGAUUGGAGUCUGCAACUCGACUCCAUGAAGUCGGAAUCGCUAGUAAUCGUGGAUCAGAAUGCCACGGUGAAUACGUUCCCGGGCCUUGUACACACCGCCCGUCACACCAUGGGAGUGGGUUGCAAAAGAAGUAGGUAGCUUAACCUUCGGGAGGGCGCUUACCACUUUGUGAUUCAUGACUGGGGUGAAGUCGUAACAAGGUAACCGUAGGGGAACCUGCGGUUGGAUCAC
rnacentral:rRNA from 1 species